GCCAGCCCUGCUGGGGAAAUGGAUUCUCAAGAUAGGAUGACAAAAAAAAAAAUCAAUUUUGAGCCACAACUGGAAAAGAUGAAUUAUUUCCCAACCUCAAGAAAUAAGGCAAACGGCUGUGGGCAGCUGACACCACUUCCUCCCAGAACAAAGCCCCUCGCCCCGUGUGGACGCUGGUAGAUACAUGGAGCCCUAAUGUGGCUGGACACGCCACCGACGGGUCAUUAAUCAGACACUGUGACAGCCACUUCUUCCCAAUCCAGCCCCGACUUCAGCCCCUAGACAAGCCCACUCAACUCCUCACCCACAGGAGGCCACGCGGGGAGCAGAGAGACAGAGGGAGAAGAGGAUUGAAUGGGCGUUGGGAAGACAGGAUAGAAAGGGAUGAGGAGGGACGCGACAAAGCCGGGGUAUAAAGGGACUCAGGCAUGAUGGGUAGGACUUACAGAUAAAAGAUGUGAGAGCCUGACAAGAGUUGGUGCUCGAGAUAAACUGUAGUGCGCUGCCUGUGGGGGAUUAUUUUCCAAAGAUCGACGCGGAUGGAUCAUAAACCGAUGUAUUCACUUAACAUCAUAUCAUGUUUCUGAGCCGUGUCUUCACAAGCCUUAGGCCGACAUGCCUCUCACACUGAGCGUCGCGAAUACACGCGUACUCACAGACUUUGGUUUAAUUAGCCACAGCUGUUUUUUCAGGUACUGAAGGUGUUUACACCCUUAUUUUAGCUUGUUAGCAUUUGUUAACAUUUGCUAAUUGGCACUGAACACAGCUGAGUACAGCUAAGGCUUAUGGGAAUGUUUUUAGGUUUGAAUGUAAUGCUUCAUAGCAUUGAACAGUUGUCUGUACCCAAUGAAAUAAUCCGUUGAACUGCACCUUAGACAUUUGAUUUAUAGGAGCCUCAUGGUGACAUGUAAAGUCAGGGAGCCACCACAGUUAUUAGAAAUAAACGUCCCAGAUUUGCUCAGCGCCCACUUGCAGACUUGCAGCGAAAAAGUACAAAUUCUAAUUUUCCCCGUAGACGACCUCUGUAAAACCCUUGCUGGGUUUAUA